AGAGAGAGAGACGAACACUCGACUUAAAAACUGAACGUCCAUUUUUAGAUUCCAAUCUGGCUCGUUCUUAUGGAAGCGCAAUUUCACCAUUAAAUACAAGAUUAAAAAAAGGUUAUGCCGACUUUUUUGUCGCACAAGUUGCAAUUCCGUGAAAAAAAAGUCAAAAUCUGCGCAAUAUAAACUCACAAUUGCGACUUUAUAAAAGUCGACUUUAUAUCUCAGAAUUUUAACUUUAAAACUCGCAAUAAAGUCUUCAUUAGGUGAAGUUAGAAAGGUCACACGUGACGUAGGCCGAAGUGUCGACUCAGUGUUUUUACGAAGCAUACACACACACACACACACACACAAAAAAAGAAAAACGUCGAAAUAGUCAAAAAUGGUAAAAGUGAAAGUUUUAAACUUUUUGUCGUUAAAAGUGGAUAAAAUUAAAAAAAAAAUUGCUAUAAAAGACCCCGUAAAGACCCCAUUGGCCGUUGAAGUCCACUAUAUAGAGAAAAGUCCUGGAAUGUUUUCGUCAAAAAACGUAUUUUCUGUACGACUGAAGAUGAAAAACAUGAACGCCUUGGAUAACAUGGGAGCGACGUCUUUUUCGAGAAGUGGUCUUGAACCUUUUAUGCUAAGCAUGACACGCUUACAACUUCGUAAAUAAUGGCAGAGGGAGGCUAGCCAACAUAUACUACAUGAUUGAGGAUGUUAUGCUAGCUCACUUUGAAGUCCUUCCAAUCACAACAAACUGACGCAAAAAUGUGCGCCUUGUUGCUAGGCGACGAUUGACGGACGACGAUUUCUAGAAUCGGCUGAAAAUAUCCGUUUCGAGAAUCAAAGUAAUAAAAAAACACGAAGAAUCAAAGUCUAAAGUAAAGAAUCGUCUGUGACUAUCAAGCCCUACUAUAUUUUCUAUGGAAUCCGUCACCUCAAAUCUGCAAAAAAAAAGUGGCUUUGACUUUAAAAACUAGCCUUAACUUCUCCAGACUGCGGGAGAUCGUGUAAUGUAUUCCAGGAUUUAGAGACGCAAUACUUUGCUAGUUCAGCGCUUCAUGCAUGACCUGUUGUUGGCACUACUUUCUGGCUCCAGAAAAAAAAUGUGCCAUGCGCCGACCCCCGGAUGAUGAAAUGGCAGCGAAGUGCAUCUGCUACGCUUCCAAACACUACAAAUGCGUGAUCCAGAGAGUUCCCGGCAUGCUUUGAAGAAUGCAGAUGAAACGAACGCAGCCUGGCCGAGCAGGAGAGCUGUGUGUGUGUGUGUGUGUGUGCUGAAGCGGGAUCAGAGUACACCGGGUGCCCUUGGCCAGACAGAUAAGCUUCAGUAAUAUGAUUACACGUCCUGCAUUGUGCAACCCAUGACUCAACCUCUAAUUACAGCUGUGCAGUGAAAUCUGGCAACCACAGCUGCUGUUUAACAUUUAAAGUCGUGUUGAAGCACAAGCGUGGAUUUAUCAUCAGAAAGCGUGUGUUGAGCAGCCGCUGACCGAGACUCUUUCACACCGAGACGAACAAUCAGAGACUGAACAAAAGACAUUCCUCCGUCAUAAAGACCUCGACAAAACCCCCACGCUGUGAGCCGAUGAACAAACAUAUAACA